rnacentral:rRNA from 1 species
AGUCGAACGGCAGCACGGGUGCUUGCCCUGGUGGCGAGUGGCGAACGGGUGAGUAAUACAUCGGAACAUGUCCUGUAGUGGGGGAUAGCCCGGCGAAAGCCGGAUUAAUACCGCAUACGAUCUACGGAUGAAAGCGGGGGACCUUCGGGCCUCGCGCUAUAGGGUUGGCCGAUGGCUGAUUAGCUAGUUGGUGGGGUAAAGGCCCACCAAGGCGACGAUCAGUAGCUGGUCUGAGAGGACGACCAGCCACACUGGGACUGAGACACGGCCCAGACUCCUACGGGAGGCAGCAGUGGGGAAUUUUGGACAAUGGGCGAAAGCCUGAUCCAGCAAUGCCGCGUGUGUGAAGAAGGCCUUCGGGUUGUAAAGCACUUUUGUCCGGAAAGAAAUCCUGAGGGCUAAUAUCCUUCGGGGAUGACGGUACCGGAAGAAUAAGCACCGGCUAACUANNNGCCNNCAGCCGCGGUAAUACGUNNGGUGCG